UACGUAGGGAGCAAGCGUUGUCCGGAAUCAUUGGGCGUAAAGAGCUCGUAGGCGGUUUGUCGCGUCUGCUGUGAAAUCCCGAGGCUCAACCUCGGGUCUGCAGUGGGUACGGGCAGACUGGAGUGCGGUAGGGGAGAAUGGAAUUCCUGGUGUAGCGGUGGAAUGCGCAGAUAUCAGGAGGAACACCGAUGGCGAAGGCAGUUCUCUGGGCCGUAACUGACGCUGAGGAGCGAAAGCGUGGGGAGCGAACAGG
rnacentral:rRNA from 1 species